CUUCGGAUUGACUCUUUUAUUAUCUUAGCGGCGGACGGGUGAGUAACGCGUGAGAAACCUGCCUUUCACAAAGGGAUAGCCUCGGGAAACUGGGAUUAAUACCUUAUGAUACUUUUAGAUAGCAUUAUUUAAAAGUCAAAGCGUAAAGCGGUGAAAGAUGGUCUCGCGUCCCAUUAGCUAGUUGGUGAGAUAAAAGCUCACCAAGGCAACGAUGGGUAACCGGCCUGAGAGGGUGAACGGUCACACUGGAACUGAGACACGGUCCAGACUCCUACGGGAGGCAGCAGUGGGGAAUAUUGCACAAUGGAGGAAACUCUGAUGCAGCGACGCCGCGUGAACGAUGAAGGCUUUCGAGUCGUAAAGUUCUGUCCUAGGGGACGAUAAUGACGGUACCCUAGGAGGAAGCCCCGGCUAAUUACGUGCCAGCAGCCGCGGUAAUACGUAAGGGGCGAGCGUUGUCCGGAAUUAUUGGGCGUAAAGGGUUCGCAGGCGGCCUUUUAAGUCAGAUGUGAAAUCUCACGGCUUAACCGUGGUAAGCAUUUGAAACUGAAAGGCUUGAGUUAAGGAGAGGAAAGUGGAAUUCCUAGUGUAGCGGUGAAAUGCGUAGAUAUUAGGAAGAAUACCAGUGGCGAAGGCGACUUUCUGGACUUAUACUGACGCUGAGGAACGAAAGCAUGGGGAGCAAACAGGAUUAGAUACCCUGGUAGUCCAUGCCGUAAACGAUGAGUGCUAGGUGUUGGGGGUCAAACCUCGGUGCCGCAGCUAACGCAUUAAGCACUCCGCCUGGGGGAGUACGUACGCAAGUAUGAAACUCAAAGGAAUUGGACGGGGACCCGCACAAGCAGCGGAACAUGUGGGUUAAUUCGAAGCAACGCGAAGAACCUUACCAGGCUUGACA
rnacentral:rRNA from 1 species